UACGUAGGGGGCGAGCGUUGUCCGGAUUUAUUGGGCGUAAAGAGCUCGUAGGCGGUUUGGUAAGUCGGGUGUGAAAACCCCAGGCUCAACCUGGGGACGCCACCUGAUACUGCUAUGACUUGAGUCUGGUAGGGGACCACGGAAUUCCUGGUGUAGCGGUGAAAUGCGCAGAUAUCAGGAGGAACACCGGUGGCGAAGGCGGUGGUCUGGGCCAGUACUGACGCUGAGACGCGAAAGCGUGGUGAGCGAACAGG
rnacentral:rRNA from 1 species